UGACAUUAAGGUUGUCUUGAAAUUAACCAAA
rnacentral:piRNA from 1 species